rnacentral:rRNA from 1 species
AGUUAACGUUGGCGGCGUGCCUAACACAUGCAAGUCGAACGCGUCCUAAGGGCAACUUUAGGAUGAGUGGCGAACGGGUGAGUAUCACGUGGGUAAUCUUCCUUCAAGUGGGGAAUAAGCUCUCGAAAGGGAGUCUAAUACCGCAUGACAUUCCGGGACACAAGUCCCGUAAUACAAAGCCGCAAGGCGCUUGAAGAUGAGCCUGCGUCCUAUUAGCUAGUUGGUGGGGUAACGGCCUACCAAGGCUUAGAUGGGUAGCCGGCCUGAGAGGGUGAACGGCCACACUGGGACUGAGACACGGCCCAGACUCCUACGGGAGGCAGCAGUGAGGUAAUUUUGCGCAAUGGGGGAAACCCUGACGCAGCGACGCCGCGUGGAGGAUGAAGGCCUUCGGGUCGUAAACUCCUGUCAGAGGUGAAGAAUACCCGCAAGGGUUUGACGGUAACCUCAGAGGAAGCCCCGGCUAACUACGUG